rnacentral:piRNA from 1 species
UGUUGUUAUGCUGUCUGUCUCCCCUGUAG